ACCCACACAAGUAAGCACAGAGGGGCGCAGGCGGCAGGUGAGUCAGUCACCGGUGGGGGCUCCAAGAGUGCCAUCCACCUGCUCCUCCGGCGGCGCAGUCAGUGAGCGCAGCUGUGCGCGGGGUGGGAGCCACCCCUGCCCUGAGCGCCUACAGGUCUCACCAGCCUCGGGAAGGGCGGGGGGGGGGGGGGGCUGCGUACAGAGUGGUCACACGGGGAGAAGUGAACGGAGCCAGGACUGAAACAGCCUCACCAGCCCCCGCCAGCUGUCCGCUGCAGGCUGAAGCUUCCAGGCAAGCUCUUGAGAUCCACGCACUUUGGAGCAGCAGGCAGACCCUCAGGAUGACUUGUGUUCCCAGUCUUUAUGCCUCAGGUCAUCCUAUGGUUGUGAAAACUCCUAUUAAAUGCCUUCAUACCUGUUAGAGUCAGCAACUGCGUGCAUCUGGUCACGGCGACGGCGGCUCUGAUGGUGAUAGUGGCGCAGGUGGCUCUGAUGGUGACAGUGCAGGCAAUGGUGACAAUGUGAUGAUGGCAGAGGCGGCAUUGGUGGUGAAGGUGGCAGAGGUGAUAUAGGAGAUGAUGAUGGUACUAAUGAGGGAGGUGGUUGAGGUGGAAACGGUGGUGUUGUAGGGGAUGGUGAUCGUAGAAAUGGUCGUCAUGGUAACGUGGUGGAGGUGAAGAUGGUGGUGGUGACAACAGUGACUGUGGCGAUGCUGGUGGUGGUAGUGGUGGUGAUGAGGGCCAUCCUGGUGGUCAAGGUAAUGUGAAUACUGGUUGAGGUGGAGGUGGGUGGUUAUGGUGAUGGUGGAGGUGGCGUCAGAGGUGGGAUGGUGGCAGUGAUGAUGAUGGUGCUGGUCUGGGCAACAGCAGUGAUGGGCCUCGUGGAUGUCACAGUGACAGUGAUACUGGUUGAGGUGAUGGAGGGACGGUGGGAUGUGGUGGUGGUGAUGGUGGUGGUGGCGUGAUGAUUGUGAUGUGGUGUGGUCAGUGAUGAUACUGGCUGAGGAGGAGAUGGUCAUGUGGUGAUGACAGUGACGGCAGGAAUGACAGGAGUAGUAGUGGUGAUGACAGUGAAGGGAGGAAUGAUGGUAUGUUUAUGGCGAUGGUAAUAGGGUAAUGUGACAUUGGUCGGGGGGUGGUUGGCGACAACGGCAUCACUACAACUGAAGCCUGAGGAUCCCAUAGCAAUGUAAUUGAGGCAGUGUGUGGGUGGUUUCAUCAAGGGACAAGGGAUCCAGGGUGUUGAGAUACCCCAGAUCCCACAGAUACUUCCCCUCAAGCCAGGCGCCCCUUGCCCUGCCUCGCCUGAGCCUUGUGCUGCCUGCACUGUCUUUCCAGGGAGGAACUUUCCUGGCCACUGCUGGCUCCGGAGCCCCCGCAGCAAGAUCUCUGCACUGCUCUGACCUCAGGCCCUGUGCUUGUGGCCCCCACCCCGGGGUG
rnacentral:lncRNA from 1 species